UGGGGGUCUCCUUAGCAAUUGGGCGCGAGAAUUGACGUCUGUGGAUUGGGGGGGCAGGAGAGGAAGAGGCAGGUAUAAUUCUCCAGUUAAAAGAACAAAAGCACACACUUGCAGUUUAAAAAUUGCGUUUUAAUUUAAUUUUUCCAAUAAAUUGUUUCCGUCAACUACUCUAGUAACUUUUUUCCCCACUGAGAAACAAUAUGGUUCUAUCGCAGAAUAACAUGGCUACAGGGUCACAACUUUUUUCAAUAACACACACCAUUUUUUUUUUGGCAAAGAUAUAUCUACUGCUGAGAGGAAUAAGGAUUUCAGUCACUCAUGCAUCGCAAGAACUGGGCAGAGUAGCUACAGUAAUUUAUACACUUGGAAUUGAGGCUUUCUUUGCAUACAUUUCAACACCCUCUAUGCUUUGCACUGAGCACAGGACCAAGGUGCAAACCACUGCAUCCACAGAGCUGUCAGCCACUUGAUUCAAGUCCUCCCCUGGGGCCACCAGGAAGCGCUGAAACUGCAGGUGCUGGUUCUGUGCCAUGCUCUUGGAGAGACCGCGCUGGAAGUUGAGGUUUGUGUCAGUGCAGGUAAUUUUGCAGCCAGGUGGGUAGAAUUGGAAGUUGGCGCCAGUGCCAGUCCCAAUCUCCAGCAAAGUCAGUUCCCCCGAGGGGCCUGCAAACUCCUGCAGAUUGCAGAACAGCUCUUGUUUGUGCCCUGAUGCCCUCCGGUUGUAACUUGCAGUUAACUUCUCUAUGAAGAAGGGAAAGAAUAUCUUCUUACAGAAUGGGUCCCACAUGCCCAGGAAUGAUAGCAGGUAUAUGGGCAGAGCAAGCAGCUGAAUGCUAACACGGAGAACCAGGACCACUGCCUUUUCCAUUCCCGCUUCUCAGUAGGACCUGCCCUGAAAAGAGCCUGCUUAUUUAAAAAUAAGCUCCCUUGAAGUUUAGGCAGAAUGCAGAGUGAGUAUCAAGCAGCUCUGUUCACUCUUGGGAUUAUUUUCUGCUCUUUGUACUCAUCUGUUAGGCAGCUUCUACAGCCAAUUUCAAAAUCCAGUGUAAAGGUCCUGGCUGAAA